ACGGAAGGCAGCAGUGGGGAAUAUUGGACAAUGGGGGAAACCCUGAUCCAGCGAUGCCGCGUGAGUGAAGAAGUAUUUCGGUAUGUAAAGCUCUAUCAGCAGGGAAGAUGAUGACGGUACCUGACUAAGAAGCCCCGGCUAACUACAUGCCAGAAGGCGCGGUAAUACGUAGGGGGCAAGCGCUAUCCGGAUUUACUGGGUGUAAAGGGAGUGUAGGCGGCCAGGCAAGUCAGAUGUGAAAACCCGGGGCUCAACUUCGGGACUGCAUUUGAAACUGCAGGGCUAGAGUACUGGAGAGGCAAGCGGAAUUCCUAGUGAAGCGGUGAAAUGCGUAGAUAUUAGGAAGAACACCGGUGGCGAAGGCGGCUUGCUGGACAGAGACUGACGCUGAGGCUCGAAAGCGUGGGAAGCAAACAGGAUUAGAUACCCUGGUA
rnacentral:rRNA from 1 species